CAUUUAGGAUAUAAUUUUGUACUUAAUAUAUUGAUUUGAUCAAUAAAAAGAUAAAUUUAUUUUUUAUUCAAGUGUGAUGUGUCCUUGAAUUGUCUAUGGAAUUAAUUUUCGAUACAUAUUCUCAAAUAAUUGAAAAUUAGAGACAUAUAUUUAAUUCUUAAAUACUUCUGAUUAUAGAAUCAUCAUGAGGAUGAUGAUCGAUCUGGAUAGACUAACGCACAGAUCAUUUCCUUCAGGAUAGAUGGGUCUUUGGUCUAUAGUGUAGAGACACUGGACGAUAAGUGCUGGUAGUUGUUAGAGAACAACUAGUACUGAGCAUGACCAUACGAGUGAUCACUUAGAUUUCUACUUGAUCAUCAGUGAUCGUUUCGAUGCUGUAAUGGUGUGACUGGUUUUUUGAUUUGAGAUGGUAUUGCUGCUUGUAGUGAGGCUGCUGGUGUUUGAUUGAUACAUAAACAUG
rnacentral:lncRNA from 1 species